rnacentral:misc_RNA from 1 species
CGAGACCGGCGAAGCGGGGCA